rnacentral:rRNA from 1 species
CCUACGGGAGGCAGCAGUGAGGAAUAUUGGUCAAUGGACGAGAGUCUGAACCAGCCAAGUAGCGUGGAGGAUGACUGCCCUAUGGGUGGUAAACUUCUUUUAUAAAGGAAUAAAACGAGGCACGUGUGCCUUUUUCCAUGUCCUUUAUGAAUAAGGCUCGGCUAACUCCGUGCCAGCAGCCGCGGUAAUACGGAGGAUCCGAGCGUUAUCCGGAUUUAUUGGGUUUAAAGGGAGCGUAGAUGGGUUGUUAAGUCAGUUGUGAAAGUUUGCGGCUCAACCGUAAAAUUGCAAUUGAUACUGGCAGUCUUGAGUACAGGUGAGGUAGGCGGAAUUCGUGGUGUAGCGGUGAAAUGCGUAGAGAUCACGAAGAACCCCGAUUGCGAAGGCAGCUUACUAAACUGUGACUGACAUUGAUGCUCGAAAGUGUGGGUAUCAAACAGGAUUAGAUACCCGAGUAGUC